AUACGGAGGGUGCAAGCGUUACUGGGAAUCACUGGGCGUAGAGCGCGCGCAGGCGGCUAUUUAAGUUGGAUGUGAAAGCCUACGGCUCAACCGUAGAACUGCAUCCAAAACUAUUUAGCUAGAGUGUGGGAGAGGAAGAUGGAAUUAGUUGUGUAGGGGUAAAAUCCGUAGAGAUAACUAGGAAUACCAAAAGCGAAGGCAAUCUUCUGGAACACUACUGACGCUGAGGCGCGAAAGCGUGGGGAGCAAACAGGAUUAGAAACCCUAGUAGUCC
rnacentral:rRNA from 1 species